GAGUUUGAUCAUGGCUCAGAACGUACGCUGGCGGCACGCCUAACACAUGCAAGUCGAACGAAGUAGCAAUACUUAGUGGCAGACGGGUGAGUAACAUGUAGGUAUCUGCCCUUUGGCCUGGAAUAACACGAGGAAACUUGUGCCAAUACCGGAUAAGUCUUUACGGAGAAAGCUUUAUGCACCAUUGGAUGAGCCUGCACUUGAUUAGUAUGUUGGUGGGGUAAUGGCCUACCAAGACUGUGAUCAAUAGCUGAUUUGAGAGGAUGAUCAGCCACAUUGGGACUGAGACACGGCCCAAACUCCUACGGGAGGCAGCAGUGGGGAAUCUUGCACAAUGGAGGAAACUCUGAUGCAGCGAUGCCGCGUGAGUGAAGAAGGCCCUUGGGUUGUAAAGCUCUUUCGUCGGGGAAGAAAAUGACUGUACCCGAAUAAGAAGGUCCGGCUAACUUCGUGCCAGCAGCCGCGGUAAUACGAAGGGACCUAGCGUAGUUCGGAAUUACUGGGCUUAAAGAGUUCGUAGGUGGUUGAAAAAGUUAGUGGUGAAAUCCCAGAGCUUAACUCUGGAACUGCCAUUAAAACUUUUCAGCUAGAGUAUGAUAGAGGAAAGCAGAAUUUCUAGUGUAGAGGUGAAAUUCGUAGAUAUUAGAAAGAAUACCAAUUGCGAAGGCAGCUUUCUGGAUCAUUACUGACACUGAGGAACGAAAGCAUGGGUAGCGAAGAGGAUUAGAUACCCUCGUAGUCCAUGCCGUAAACGAUGUGUGUUAGACGUUGGAAAUUUAUUUUCAGUGUCGCAGCGAAAGCGAUAAACAUACCGCCUGGGGAGUACGACCGCAAGGUUAAAACUCAAAUGAAUUGACGGGGACCCGCACAAGUAGUGGAGCAUGUGGUUUAAUUCGAAGAUACGCGCAGAACCUUACCAACACUUGACAUGUUCGUCGCGACUCUAAGAGAUUAGAGUUUUCGGUUCGGCCGGACGAAACACAGGUGCUGCAUGGCUGUCGUCAGCUCGUGUCGUGAGAUGUUGGGUUAAGUCCCGCAACGAGCGCAACCCUCACUUUUAGUUGCCAUCAUUAAGUUGGGCACUCUGAAAGAACUGCCAGUGAUAAGCUGGAGGAAGGUGGGGAUGACGUCAAGUCCUCAUGGCCCUUACGUGUUGGGCUACACACGUGCUACAAUGGCAUCUACAACAGGAAGCAAAACGGCAACGUUAAGCAAAUCCCGAAAAGAUGCCUCAGUUCGGAUUGCACUCUGCAACUCGAGUGCAUGAAGCUGGAAUUACUAGUAAUCGUGGAUCAGCGUGCCACGGUGAAUGCGUUCCCGGGUCUUGUACACACCGCCCGUCACACCAUGGGAGUUGGUUCUACCUUAAGGCAAGGUUUUAAACCCUUGACCACGGUACGAUCAGCAACUGGGGUGAAGUCGUAACAAGGUAACC
rnacentral:rRNA from 1 species